GACGAACGCUGGCGGCGUGCUUAACACAUGCAAGUCGAACGGAAAGGCCCUGCUUUUGUGGGGUGCUCGAGUGGCGAACGGGUGAGUAACACGUGAGUAACCUGCCCUUGACUUUGGGAUAACUUCAGGAAACUGGUGCUAAUACCGGAUAGGAGCUCCUGCUGCAUGGUGGGGGUUGGAAAGUUUGGGCGGUUGGGGAUGGACUCGCGGCUUAUCAGCUUGUUGGUGGGGUAGUGGCUUACCAAGGCUUUGACGGGUAGCCGGCCUGAGAGGGUGACCGGCCACAUUGGGACUGAGAUACGGCCCAGACUCCUACGGGAGGCAGCAGUGGGGAAUAUUGCACAAUGGGCGGAAGCCUGAUGCAGCAACGCCGCGUGCGGGAUGACGGCCUUCGGGUUGUAAACCGCUUUCGCCUGUGACGAAGCGUGAGUGACGGUAAUGGGUAAAGAAGCACCGGCUAACUACGUG
rnacentral:rRNA from 1 species